GGGCUUGUAGCUCAGUUGGUUAGAGCGCGCCCCUGAUAAGGGCGAGGUCGUAGGUCCGACUCCUACCAGGCCCA
rnacentral:tRNA from 1 species